rnacentral:rRNA from 1 species
UACGUAGGUGGCAAGCGUUGUUCGGAAUUAUUGGGCGUAAAGGGCGCGUAGGCGGCUCGUUAAGUCGGCUGUGAAAGCCCGGGGCUCAACCCCGGAGGGUCGGCCGAUACUGGCGGGCUAGAGUACGGAAGAGGUAGCUGGAAUUCCCGGUGUAGCGGUGAAAUGCGUAGAUAUUGGGAGGAACACCAGUGGCGAAGGCGGCUCACUGGACCGGUACUGACGCUGAUGCGCGAAAGCGUGGGGAGCAAACGGG